UGCAUGUCUAAGUAUAAGCAAUUUAUACAGUGAAACUGCGAAUGGCUCAUUAAAUCAGUUAUCGUUUAUUUGAUAGUACCUUACUACUUGGAUAACCGUGGUAAUUCUAGAGCUAAUACAUGCUUAAAAUCCCGACUGUUUGGAAGGGAUGUAUUUAUUAGAUAAAAAAUCAAUGUCUUCGGACUCUUUGAUGAUUCAUAAUAACUUUUCGAAUCGCAUGGCCUUGUGCUGGCGAUGGUUCAUUCAAAUUUCUGCCCUAUCAACUUUCGAUGGUAGGAUAGUGGCCUACCAUGGUUUCAACGGGUAACGGGGAAUAAGGGUUCGAUUCCGGAGAGGGAGCCUGAGAAACGGCUACCACAUCCAAGGAAGGCAGCAGGCGCGCAAAUUACCCAAUCCCGACACGGGGAGGUAGUGACAAUAAAUAACGAUACAGGGCCCUUUCGGGUCUUGUAAUUGGAAUGAGUACAAUGUAAAUACCUUAACGAGGAACAAUUGGAGGGCAAGUCUGGUGCCAGCAGCCGCGGUAAUUCCAGCUCCAAAAGCGUAUAUUAAAGUUGUUGCAGUUAAAAAGCUCGUAGUUGAACCUUGGGCUUGGUUGGCCGGUCCAUCUUUCUGAUGCGUACUGGACCCAACCGAGCCUUUCCUUCUGGCUAGCCUUUUGGCGAACCAGGACUUUUACUUUGAAAAAAUUAGAGUGUUCAAAGCAGGCCUUUGCUCGAAUAUAUUAGCAUGGAAUAAUA
rnacentral:rRNA from 1 species